AUUGAACGCUGGCGGCGUGCUUAACACAUGCAAGUCGAUCGGUAACAGGUGCAGCAAUACAUGCUGACGAGAGGCGGACGGGUGAGUAAUGCUUGGGAAUCUGCCUAUUAGUGGGGGACAACCCGGGGAAACUCGGGCUAAUACCGCAUACGCUCUACGGAGGAAAGCCGGGGACCGCAAGGCCUGGCGCUAAUAGAUGAGCCCAAGUCGGAUUAGCUAGUUGGUAGGGAACGGCCUACCAAGGCGACAAUCCGUAGCUGGUCUGAGAGGACGACCAGCCACACCGGAACUGAGACACGGUCCGGACUCCUACGGGAGGCAGCAGUGGGGAAUAUUGGACAAUGGGGGCAACCCUGAUCCAGCGACGCCGCGUGGGUGAAGAAGGCCUGCGGGUUGUAAACCUCUUUCGACAGUGACGAAGCUUUUGGGUGACGGUAGCUGUAGAAGAAGCACCGGCCAACUACGUGCCAGCAGCCGCU
rnacentral:rRNA from 1 species